GGAUGUGGGGGGCAGAGGAAGGGAGUCAGGAGAGAGCAUCUAGACCUCACUUUUUUGAACUUGUGGAAUAGGCAAGCAGUAUUCUGCUGGUUUGGUAGAAGUGGGAAUCUCUGAGGGCAAGAUUACUUAUCAUUUAACUCAGUAAAUAGUUAUGAGGGCCUGGAGCCUACCUGUGCUGAGCUAGGUGCAGGAGUUAGGAUGGCCAACCAGAGAGACUUGUUUCCCUUACUCCAUGGAGUAUAAGACAGAAGAGCUCAAAAGCAGUCUCCAAGUGAGUCAGAGAUGUCUACUUAUACAUGGGCAUUGAGGGGUGGACAACUUCAAAAAGAGGAAAGACAACCAGAGAAUUUGCAGACCAGAACAACCAUGAAUUCCUCCAUUUCUAUCCCACAGAAAUCUGGCAAGAAGGGUAAGUGUCUAGAACUGGUGCUCAGUGUUCCUUAAAUUCUUGUUGACAGAACAAUUUCAAAAGGUAUCUGCCUUAUGUUUAUUGAAUGGAUCCUGCGUGACAGGACCAUGCUACAAUAAUCACAUGUUGUUUUUAAAAGUCCAAGGAACUUCCAGGAGCCUCCUGAAAUCUGCUGUCCAUAGUCUGGGAAAUGCCCUGAGCCCUUACACGAUUCCUGUCCUCCACCAUCACUAGCUUUACCAGGAGCCUUCCUGGUUCCUGCCCUAUGAAAGGGCAUCUGAAGGUGCUGACGUUAAACAUGGCAACUCAGGACGCACGUCAGGUUCCGGGACGCUUCUCCUGCGGCCCCUCCCAGCAUCUCUGCCACAGCCUCUUCCUGCUGCCCCAGGGACAGGCCUAACUCUGGUCAACUGCAAGUAAUACCCCAGCAAGUGUACUCUUCCCUGGGCUGGGACUUGCUACCUGGGGCAAUGAGAGUGUUGUUUUUCUCCUGUGAUUGCCCUCCUGAUUACCUGAAUGACUCAUGGGAGGCAGCAGGCCAGCCUAGGGCAGAGGAGGAGGGCCAGGGCCCAGGGCCAGCACUCAAAGCCAGGGCUCCUCUGGGUGGUCAGACCUCAUGAGAUGCCACAAGGGAGGAGCUUGUUCCCACAUGGACAUAAUUUGUCUGUUUUUCAGAACUCAGCAAUGUGGCUUGAUAAAGAUUACAGUGAGGCCCUCAAGGAGGAAGAGUAGAGGUAGGGAGAUACACAUUUUUUGAACAGAGUGCCAUCAGAUAGUAGAGAGCUCAUUCUCCCAGGAGGACACAAGGCACACUCUGUCCCUGUCAUAUCGUUUGCCUAGCCAACGCGGGUGAGUCUCCCAGACAAGCCAUGGUGGGUGGAG